rnacentral:rRNA from 1 species
ACGCUCGACACCUACUGGAGGCAGCAGUGGGGAAUAUUGCACAAUGGGGGAAACCCUGAUGCAGCGACGCCGCGUGGAGGAAGAAGGUCUUCGGAUUGUAAACUCCUGUUGUUGGGGAAAAAGAGGAUGGUACCCAACAAGGAAGUGACGGCUAACUACGUGCCAACAGCCCGCGGUAAUCUGAGCGGGCUGGCAAGGC